AGCUGGAUCUUCUGGAUAACAUGCUGAAGCUUCUACGUCAUUCAGCACUUGCUUCAGCAUGUUUUCCAGAAGGUCUAGCU
ensembl:miRNA